CCUACGGGUGGCAGCAGUGAGGAAUAUUGGUCAAUGGACGAGAGUCUGAACCAGCCAAGUAGCGUGAAGGAUGACUGCCCUAUGGGUUGUAAACUUCUUUUAUAAAGGAAUAAAACGAGGCACGUGUGCCUUUUUGCAUGUACUUUAUGAAUAAGGAUCGGCUAACUCCGUGCCAGCAGCCGCGGUAAUACGGGGGAUCCGAGCGUUAUCCGGAUUUAUUGGGUUUAAAGGGAGCGUAGAUGGGUUGUUAAGUCAGUUGUGAAAGUUUGCGGCUCAACCGUAAAAUUGCAAUUGAUACUGGCAGUCGUGAGUACAGUUGAGGUAGGCGGAAUUCGUGGUGUAGCGGUGAAAUGCUUAGAUAUCACGAAGAACCCCGAUUGCGAAGGCAGCUUACUAAACUGUGACUGACAUUGAUGCUCGAAAGUGUGGGUAUCAAACAGGAUUAGAUACCCCAGUAGUC
rnacentral:rRNA from 1 species